AAUUCGCCCUUAGAGUUUGAUCCUGGCUCAGGAUGAACGCUAGCGGCAGGCUUAACACAUGCAAGUCGAGGGGCAGCGCUGGGUGGCAACACCCUGGCGGCGACCGGCGGAAGGGUGCGUAACACGUGAGCAACUUGCCCGUAUCCGGGACAUAACCGGCGGAAACGCCGACUAAUUUCCCAUAACAGCGGGGGCCGCAUGGCCCUCGUUUGAAAGACACGUCGGAUGCGGAUGGGCUCGCGGGACAUUAGCUGGUUGGAGUGGUAACGGCACACCAAGGCUACGAUGUCUAGGGGUUCUGAGAGGAAGGUCCCCCACACUGGAACUGAGAUACGGUCCAGACUCCUACGGGAGGCAGCAGUGGGGAAUAUUGGGCAAUGGGCGAAAGCCUGACCCAGCAACGCCGCGUGAGGGAAGAAGGGUUUCGGCUCGUAAACCUCUGUCCUAUGGGACGAAUGAGAUGACGGUACCAUAGGAGGAAGCCCCGGCUAACUACGUGCCAGCAGCCGCGGUAAUACGUAGGGGGCGAGCGUUGUCCGGAAUGAUUGGGCGUAAAGGGCGCGUAGGCGGCCUGAUAAGUCUGGAGUGAAAGUCCUGCUUUCAAGGUGGGAAUUGCUUUGGAUACUGUCGGGCUGGAGUGCAGGAGAGGAAAGUGGAAUUCCCAGUGUAGCGGUGAAAUGCGCAGAUAUUGGGAAGAACACCAGUGGCGAAGGCGGCUUUCUAGGCCACGACUGACGCUGAGGCGCGAAAGCUAGGGGAGCAAACAGGAUUAGAUACCCUGGUAGUCCUAGCCGUAAACGACGAAUACUAAGGUGUGGGGGAGUAAUCUCUUCCGUGCCGCAGCUAACGCAUUAAGUAUUCCGCCUGGGGAGUACGGCCGCAAGGCUAAAACUCAAAGGAAUUGACGGGGACCCGCACAAGCAGCGGAGCAUGUGGCUUAAUUCGAAGCAACGCGAAGAACCUUACCUGGGCUUGACAUAUAGGUGAAGCCGUGGAAACACGGUGGCCGAAAGGAGCCUAUACAGGUGGUGCAUGGCUGUCGUCAGCUCGUGUCGUGAGAUGUUAGGUUAAGUCCUGCAACGAGCGCAACCCUUGUCGUAUGUUACCAGCAUUCAGUUGGGGACUCAUACGAGACUGCCGGCGUCAAGCCGGAGGAAGGUGGGGACGACGUCAAGUCAUCAUGCCCCUUAUGUCCAGGGCUGCACACGUGCUACAUUGGCCGGUACAACGGGCUGCGAACUCGCGAGAGUAAGCGAAUCCCUUAAAGCCGGUCCUAGUUCGGAUUGGAGGCUGCAACCCGCCUCCAUGAAGUCGGAGUUGCUAGUAAUCGCGGAUCAGCAUGCCGCGGUGAAUACGUUCCCGGGUCUUGUACACACCGCCCGUCA
rnacentral:rRNA from 1 species